CACGUAGGGCGCAAGCGUUGUCCGGAAUUAUUGGGCGUAAAGAGCUCGUAGGCGGUCUGUUGCGUCCGCUGUGAAAACCCGGGGCUUAACCCUGGGCUGGCAGUGGAUACGGACAGACUAGAGGUAGGUAGGGGAGAAUGGAAUUCCCGGUGUAGCGGUGAAAUGCGCAGAUAUCAGGAGGAACACCGAUGGCGAAGGCAGGUCUCUGGGCCAUAACUGACGCUGAGAAGCGAAAGCAUGGGGAGCGAACAGG
rnacentral:rRNA from 1 species